AGUUUUCAGCAGGAAUACUGAGAACCAGCAGGUAAAUACUUUUCUAUUGAAGAUCCCAAGUGAAUUCCUGUGGAUUCAGAUAACCUGUUUUGAUCUUGAUGGCUGCUCAGCUUCAUCCUCUGCACUCCAGUCUUUUAAGGAUUCUCCAAAACCAGAAGAUGGGUUGUGGAACUCGUGUUUGUUUUUAUUUGCUGUUUUAAAUCAAGCCUUAUGCUCAGCUUCACAGAGUGCCUUUGCCUGGAUGACUGCCCCGUGACAUCAGCAAUCGAAACCUCCUUGGGAAUACUCUUAAGCUCAGUAGCCAGAAGAGUUGCACAAUGAGAAAAUCUGAGGGACAAAAACCCAUCCUCAGCGUUCGGCAGGGAAAAGAAGGAGCGGUGCUGUGAGUGGAUGUUCGUCCAGCUGAAAAAGAAGUUGGGAAAAGAGGCUUUGUUCCCUUUUUAAUGUGCUGUCUUCGCUUCCGAGGCAAGAGUGUGAGCAUCCUUUUGAUCAAAAGUAAGAGGAGUGCUCUGUGGCAAGGAAGAAGAACCCAAGGAAGGAGUUAGAACAGGAGAAAUAAGAGGAGUCUCCAGCUUCGUAUCAGAACUGCUACUGGCAUAAUUGCAGCUGAAACCAGAAGGAAAUGAGCUGGCUCCGUGCUUGCUACAGAGACAGAGGUCCUCGCACAGAAACAGAAGCUAUGAAAAGGCAGAGCUCUGGUGGGGAGCACGAGGUUAUUGAAUUGCCAGAAGUUAAUGGGGAGGAAAGUACAGCUGAUCAUAAGAAGCCUCUAAAUCCUCAAGUACCUGCAACGAGCAAGGAGAGAGAUCAGUGGAAAUCAUGCAGGAAGAUCAUUUUCUGGAAGUGUAAACUAUGGAUGGUUUUAACUACAAUUUUUGUUGUUUUGUUCCUGGUCAUUCUCAUCAGUCUAGCUCUAUAUUCUAAUGUUUACACAGAUGAAGAUGAUUAUUGGUAUACAGAUGAACUGCUACAGAAUUAUCACAAUUUUUCUGGAAAGUUCAACUUACUGUGUGGUCUUCCACACGUUUUCUCUGAAGACAUUAUUAAGAGGAUAACAGAUGUCUACAGCUCAUCUCCAGCUCUCGGACGCUACUUUAGGUCUGCUAAAGUGGAUUAUUUCAGUAAUGAAAGCUCCACUGUAUUUUAUCAACUAGAGUUCUUUGUACCGCCGUCAACAGAGGGGUUUAUGGAGAAUGUAAUGAACCCAGACUUUAUAAGGAAUGUUCUACUUCAAAAUAUUUACGAUGAAGAAGAUACUUCUAAUCCUGGGACAUCUGAAUGUACCAGGUUAAAGCUUGACCCAGUUUCUCUCACAUCAACAUGAAAAUAAUGGACAGACUCCUCAUCUUCCUUACCUCCUAGAAGAGGUGGUCUUCUACUGUCUAUUAGUGAUCUCAGCUACACACCAGGAGCACCCAGCAACACGUAACUGCUGCGCGGCUGGAUGGUGAUGGCCUGACAUGUUCUGAGGUUGAUACUGCCUGCUGGUGGUUUACGUGACAAAACCUUCAUCACACCACGCACAUGGGAACACAGCAGCACAUACAGGGGACUUCAAAUCAUCCUCUGCCCUGGCUGUACCCAGGGACUGGGACUGUUAGCUGGCCAGUGUGCUUGGCUGCCAGCACUUGGAGAGAUCCAAGUGCCAGCCAUCAGCAUAAGCUGGGCUCAGGGCCAGCACCUAGAGAAAAUGUGGGCGUGUGGCUCCUGGAAAGGGCCCAGGUGUUGCCAAGGAUGCGAGGACAGCUGCCCUCUGUUUGGUGCCCCGCGUCUAGCAUGUUCCUUGGAACUGGAGAGAGAAGGAAGAGCCAUUCAUUAAUGAAUGAGGAGACAGGAGGAUGCCUUGGGUGAGCAGUGAAAGCGCAUGCUUGAAUCAUUACCUGGGCAGGGCUCGGCGGGUGACUCUCGGUCUGUGCUGGGAAGAGAGGAAACAAAGAAGUGACUGCCAGUUCUUCUACAGCUAUAGGGUGCAACCGUGAACCUGUGAGACAUGGGUUGUGGGAAGGGACAACCCCCGAGGUUUCUCUCUAGAUGCUAGAGAAAUCUGGUGGAUGGUAAAGAUUAAUUUUUUCUUUGGUUUAGCAUACGCUUACACCUUGUCACGUUACUCAUUGACCACAAUGAAACCCAGACAAAUAACCCCAUGGUUCAAAAGUCUGGGCUUAUCUGGCAGUUUAUGUCUCUGUCCCAUGACCAUCUAAAUGGCACAGAGCUCUUUGCCUCAUUCUUUCUUGCAGCUUUAUUUUUAGCUGCCUACUGGGUUCUUACUAGGAAGUUGGUUGAGCUGUUGGUUGCUCCUACAACAUUUCAGAGCAGAACUUUCACUUCUGCCUAAGAUAGCAGAGCUUGAAGCAUGCCUGCUUUGCAACCUGACUGAAGGGAAGGCAUCAGCCCCUCAGCAUUGCAUUAAACCUGCCAUCCAGAGACCUGGCAGCAGUUUCAAAUACCACAGUGUUGCCUCAAGGCUGCCAUUAGAAUGCCAGCAUACACAAACAUACACAACAAGAAGCUGCCCCUCUUGAGCAAGUACUCAACUCAUGAAAGCAGUGCUACAUAUUAUACCAUCACUACAUGAGAUGCUUUACCCACUGACAGAAAAGAUAACAGUCUGAACUGAAACCAAGAUCUCGUGGUUUAUGUGAAUGCAUGUGAUUCCAACUAUAUGAGUCUUCCCUAUUUACAUAUUUGAUACGCCCAAACUAUUUUAUUAGCAGAACACCUGAUAGAGUCCACAGGUUUGCUCUUCAUUUUUAAUCUUUAAGCCAUUAAAUACUGAAGCACAUGAAGGUGCUCUGCUAGGUACGUGUUUAGAUGUAAAGCCUGAAGACAGUUUUUAACCAAACAGAAAAACAUAUAUUUAGAACCAUAGAAUCAUGGAAUAUCCCAAGUUGGAGAAGACCCAUAAGGAUCACUGAGUCCACCUCCUGGCUCCACACAGGACCAGCCAAAAUACAAAUCCUAUGUCUGAGAGCAUUGUGCAGGCAUUUCCUGAGCUCUGGCAAGCUCAGUGCCAUGACUGCUUCCCUGGAGAGGCUGUAUUUGUGCCUGUGUUUCUAGGAAAAAUCCUAAGACGGGCAGCACAGUUACAUUGGAGCACCCCAUGGCUGGAGCUGUGGUGCUUCAGAGUAGUUGAGGGCACCGCAUCCCCCCCUCCCCCUGGAGUGCUGGAGGAGUACCUUUACUUACUUUCCUUGUUGGAGUAUCUCUUCCUCCAUACAGGAAUGCUCAUCUUCCACCUGGAAUGCAGGGACAAUGACAGAGGGUCAGCUCGGGUGCUGGUUAGACUUCACGCUUCCCUGCCAAUCCCCAGGGGCCUGUGAUUACCUGGGCAGCUCCCUCAUGCUUUAAGACCUGUCCCUUUACACAGCAUUUUGGGCUGUUCAGCCUUUCCCCAGUCCUCUCAGGGAGGCAGUGUGCAGUGAGCAUUGGGAACUGAAGGGUCAAGCAGCCUUUCUGGGUUGGUUUGUGUUAAACAACAGGUGAGCGAGCAGGAAAUACAUGGAAGAGAAAUGGCAGACCCAGACCUGUGUCCUUGUGCAUUAUUCACAUCAAUCUUCCCUUUAGUGUGUCUCAGUGACAAGCAGGAGGAACGGGAAGGAGGCAACUGUGCAGCACAGCUACAGGCACAGAGGUGAUGUUAAGGGCAGGCAGGUCUGCUUCUGAGAGACCCGAGCUUUGGCCACUGAGGAACUUUUUGCUGUUCAAGCAGAAGGUGAUACAGCUUGAAGUACUGAAAGGUAACUCACGAGCACUUUACAACAUUGUUUUGGUAUCUAAGUGGUAUGUUUGCAUGUAUUCUAAAAGCGUUCUCAGGGAAUAUAAAACUGCCAAAUCAAUUUGAGACAUGAAAUGCUUUUGAGCAAAUGGCUUGCUUGUUCAUCUGAAUGAGUCUCUUUCUAACUGCACAUUUGCACUGUAUUUUCCUUUCCCAGGACCUGAGGUAAAUAGGUGUUACCACCAUUAUUGCUGCUAUAGACACUUUCUUACUAAACUUAUGUUUCUAGGUCUUACUUGUUUCCCGUGCCACCUAAAUUUGGCAACUAACAUGAAAUGAUUUCUUUUUGCAUGUCUGUAGUGUUCUUAUCAGAGCAGCAGAAAGUUCCCAAAUAUUAGCGAAUAUCAGUUCUCAACUUCCCAUUCAGGGGGAGAAUUUACUUCUCUCAUUGCAGUUGAGAAUAAAGAUAAAAUUGAUCUUGCCUUAUUAAAUGCACUGAGCAUGAACUCCUCUAGUUUAGCUGGAGACACCAGCACAAGUGCUUCACACAAUUUGCUCCUAGAAGUUCUACAAGGGACACUUUAAAUAAAAAUGUAUAUGUAUGCCAUGCAUACUCAUAAUAUACAUAAUUCAUACUGACUGUAUUGUAAUGCAAGAUAUCACAAAUUUGAUACCAGUAUUUUUGUCUUCUCAUCUGUUCAUUCAUCUGUGUCUUAUUUAUAUUUAUUUGGCUUAUGAUUUUUCAGUUGUUCACUCAGAAUGAGAAGUGAUACAGGCCAUCAGAAUCAUAGAAUUAUAGAAUUAUUAAGGCUUGAAAGGACCACUAAGAUCAUCUUGUCCAGCCACCAACCCAAUGCUACCAUGCCCACUUGGAUAGCUCUUUUCCUUGGAUAAGGUUUGGAUAUGGCUUGAAUAGCUCUUUUCGUGGAUGAUUGAAAGAAAAAUACCACAUUUCUGUAGCAAAGUAGACCUUUGUACUGCUGCACAACCCCUAGAUAAAGCUGUCUUAUUUCGUCAAUAAUGUGAACUCCUCUGGGAAAAUAUGCUGUGAUCUGAGAAUUUAAAAAGUUUCUCAACAUCUGUGCUCACACAACAGACAUGCAGGCUCCACAGCAGGAGGUAUCCAGUUGGAGGACUAGAGCUGGACUUGUCUGUGGUUGGAGGGGUUUGGAGAGGGGGUGUUGCUUGUUGGGUUUUUUAGUUAACUUGUUUCUUUAGGUAAUUAUAUGUAUAGCUUUAUCAACAAAAAUUCUGGGAAAUAAAUCUGGCUAGCGGUUUCAAAACAGAAGGAAUGCCAUUAAAGUAGAAACAAAACCAAAA